AUACGGAGGAUGCGAGCGUUAUCCGGAUUUAUUGGAUUUAAAGGGAGCGUAGGUGGGAUAUUAAGUCAGCUGUGAAAGUUUGGGGCUCAACCUUAAAAUUGCAGUUGAUACUGGUCUCCUUGAGUACGGUACAGGUGGGCGGAAUUCGUGGUGUAGCGGUGAAAUGCUUAGAUAUCACGAAGAACUCCGAUCGCGAAGGCAGCUCACCGGGCCGGAACUGACACUGAUGCUCGAAAGUGCGGGUAUCAAACAGGAUUAGAUACCCUGGUAGUCCGCACAGUAAACGAUGAAUACUCGCUGUUUGCGAUACACGGUAAGCGGCCAAGCGAAAGCGUUAAGUAUUCCACCUGGGGAGUACGCCGGCAACGGUGAAACUCAAAUGAAUCGACGGGG
rnacentral:rRNA from 1 species